CCAGACUUGACAUGCAAGUGGUAGAGGACCGAAAGGCGAUCGACCCGCAAGGGAGCUUGCACAGGUGUUGCACGGCUGUCGUCAGCUCGUGUCGUGAGAUGUUGGGUUAAGUCCCGCAACGAGCGCAACCCUCGCGGCCUGUUGUAUCACUCAGGCCGGACUGCCGAGAGAAACUCGGAGGAAGGUGGGGAUGACGUCAAGUCAGCGUGGCCCUUACGUCUGGGGCUACACGCACGCUACAAUGACCGGUCACAGCGAGUUGCGACUGCGUGAGCAGAAGCUAACCUCUGAAAACCGGCCUCAGUUCAGAUCGAAGGCUGAAACCCGCCUUCGUGAAGUCGGAGUUGCUAGUAACCGCGGGUCAUCACACCGCGGUGAAUAUGUUCCC
rnacentral:rRNA from 1 species